GUCUGAAUUAUUCACCCAUGUCUUUUGCGCACUUCUUGUUUCCUGGGCGGGUUCGCCCGCCACCAGGACCAAACCAUAAACCUUUUUGUAAUUGCAAUCAGCGUCAGUAAACAAUGUAAUUAUUACAACUUUCAACAACGGAUCUCUUGGUUCUGGCAUCGAUGAAGAACGCAGCGAAAUGCGAUACGUAGUGUGAAUUGCAGAAUUCAGUGAAUCAUCGAAUCUUUGAACGCACAUUGCGCCCUUUGGUAUUCCAAAGGGCAUGCCUGUUCGAGCGUCAUUUGUACCCUCAAGCUUUGCUUGGUGUUGGGCGUCUUUGUCUCUCACGAGACUCGCCUUAAAAUGAUUGGCAGCCGACCUACUGGUUUCGGAGCGCAGCACAAUUCUUGCACUUUGAAUCAGCCUUGGUUGAGCAUCCAUCAAGACCACAUUUUUUAACUUUUGACCUCGGAUCAGGUAGGGAUACCCGCUGAACUUAAGCAU
rnacentral:rRNA from 1 species